AGUGUGGCGGUGGCGUUGAGCGCAAUUGUGCUAUCUCAAGGAAAGUAUUAAGGUUUUUCUGAUCCAUCUUUCUCCUUUUCUGGGCCUCCAGUGUGCUAGUCCUACAGAACGCAGGGACUAAUUUCAUCUCCUGUGACUAUCUUUAAGAGUAAAAUACCACCUGACUUGGUGUGGGGUACUUUAGUGUGAUGAGAUUAGAAAAGUAGCUGGCAGAAGCGCUAUGAGAAGGAACUGAAGGACACAGCAGAAGUCCUGAACCUUGUGCACAUCCUCACAUAUCUUGCCAAGCAUCGUGUCAGAGCUAGAAGGGAUUUUGUUGACUCUCUACUCUCCUCCUCUCCAGAUGCUCUGUGGUUCUUGUCAUCUGUGCCUUCUGCAACCUCCAUGCCCAUAGUAUCAUCAUAGAAGCAGUGUUUAUCCUUAAGGAGAAGGAAUUAUUUUUUUUAGGGGAUACAAAAGCUGCAUAGAUCUUUUCUUACUUUACCACCUCAGUGGGUCUCAGGUAAAUUACUAAAUUUAGGGCUUCAACUACCAGAUGCAUUUCAUGUAAAUGUAAAAUAACUGGUUCAUCUUCUAAAUAUAACAAUUCACAGGAAAGAAAUCUGAGACUAUUUCUUGCAGAAAAAAGUAACAAUACCUAUUCAGGAGAAUAAUCUGCCAAAAAGCCUAUAAAUUCUGAUGAUUUUACGUAGAAAGAGAAGAUAAUUUUCCAAAUCUGACACUUGUUAGCAAUGUAAUGUGCCUUUAGGGUAAGCAAUUGGCACACAUCCCUUAGGAACUAGGCUAUAAAACAAUAGAAAACUGAUGCUUGAUUAAAAAUAAAGUAAACAGAAAUUUCAAACAUUGGCUUUGGGAAGACUUUCAUUAUUCAAAUGUUAUUAACUGCAUUUCCUGGACUCACUGCAGUACCUCUAACUGUUAGAGAGGUUAAUAUCAUGCUUUUACUGGGUUUGCUGUUGGCAGAUGAUCAUUUCUUUUAGACACUGUGAGCAUAUCUGGAAAUGAUAGAGACAACGCAAGCUGAUUAGCAUAAGAAGCAGAUUUUAUACAUUUUUUUACAAGCAGCCCCACCAAAGCUCAACCUAUAUAUGCACAAAAGCCUUCAAAUUUCCUGUUUUGUAUGUCUCUACUACCUUUGAGGUUUUGGGGGGGGAAGGAUAGGCGUUUAUGUAUACAAAUAUUAGAAUUUACAUCAAAAAAAUGUCAUUAAUUUCAAAGUUUCAAAUAUUUCUCAAGUUAUCCUCAAACUUAAGCAAGCUUUAAUCUAUACCUAUGUCAUGGUGAAUUUAAUGUAUCUUUUUGUCAUAUAUCUUUGUUAGUCAUGUACCAUGUUCUAAGGCACAGAUUUUGUGAUGCUAACAUCUAUUCCGUCUUCAUCUAACAACUUUUGGGAAAAAAAAUGCAGAUGGGUUUCUGCAUUUUCACAAAAAAAUUGUCCUUUCUUUUUAUGUAAUGUAUCAAAGUAGGUAAAAAGUGUUCUUGCUCACUAACCAUAACAACAUUGGCAACUUAUAAUGAAGUGAGACUAUAAAAGUGAAAUAUCAGCAAAAGGAAAAGAAAAAAUAUUUUAUCGGUGGAUUUUUAGACAUCUAGACAUGUGUGUCAGAUCCUUACCCAUUUUGGAUAAUCUUGUUACAGAAAUAUGUGGCAAUUAUGCUGCCAGAAUCACCAUUCUGAUUUGCAAACACAGGCAUAGAUUUCUGAAUUCUGCUGAGAUUUGCCUGAGGGACAGAUGGAAGAAUGCAGAGGCCACCUUAGCAGUCUUCAAGAAGGAAAAGCAAGCACAACCUCCCUGUGACAAAGGAAAAUGCAUAUAUAGUUAUUUGUGUGCUUUGAAGAGUUGCUCAGUAGAGUUGCUGGAUCAAAGGCAGUUCAAGGUAAGAAUUGGUUGCAGCAAAUAUGGAACUGAUAGUUUAGAAUUUCAAGCUGGAGAAAUUUCCUCUGUGAAAAGUAUUUUAAAAUUAAUUAACAAGAAAAUUUCAUUACCACUACUGAAGGAGAAUGGCACUGUUGGCAAACCUCCGGGCCUUACUAUUACAAACGUAGAAGCAGAAGUUGGAGUGUUCUUUUAGGAAUUAGCUAUUACACCUGUCAUGUGUAAAUUACAGCACAUUGUCAAAUGAGUAAUAGUGGAUUGGUUAAAAACCUGGAAUAAAUCCAAUGUACCAAUGGCUUUCUGUCAAUCUGUCAAGUCACUUAAAGAGGAAUUUUGCAAAGUUCUGCCUGGGGUCUGGUUCUGUUCAAUAUUUUCAUUAAUAGCUUGAAUAGAUGAA